AUGUACUGGGGAGCUUUUGAUUGCCUUCAAAAAGAACUGGCAGAAAUGCCCUCACAAACCAGACAGACCUUCCCUGUUUGCCAGGAAGAAGCCCAUGAUGAGGUUUCAGCAGUCGUAGCAGCCUCAGGUGGACCAGCUUUGAAAAAGGGAGAAGAGAGUCCUCAGGCCAGGCCUACUGGUGCCAAUGACCAGUCAUUCUCAAGAAAUCCUCUGGCACGUUCCCACUCCUUCUGCCACAUCUCCAAGUACAACAGUGCUGAGAUAUCUGGAGACAACAGGGAUUCAACAGUGAAAGAAAGAAAGAAAAAGAGAAGGAAGAAUGUGUCCACCAGACUCAUGAUGAAAUGGAAGAGAGUGAAGAGCUCACCAAGCCAUCUUCAAAAAGCUUGA
rnacentral:lncRNA from 1 species